rnacentral:rRNA from 1 species
GAUGAACGCUGGCGGCGUGCCUAAUACAUGCAAGUCGAGCGAACGGACGAGAAGCUUGCUUCUCUGAUGUUAGCGGCGGACGUGUGAGUAACACGUGGAUAACCUACCUAUAAGACUGGGAUAACUUCGGGAAACCGGAGCUAAUACCGGAUUAUAUUUUGAACCGCAUGGUUCAAAAGUGAAAGACGGUCUUGCUGUCACUUAUAGAUGGAUCCGCGCUGCAUUAGCUAGUUGGUAAGGUAACGGCUUACCAAGGCAACGAUGCAUAGCCGACCUGAGAGGGUGAUCGGCCACACUGGGACUGAGACACGGUCCAGACUCCUACGGGAGGCAGCAGUAGGGAAUCUUCCGCAAUGGGCGAAAGCCUGACGGAGCAACGCCGCGUGAGUGAUGAAGGUCUUCGGAUCGUAAGACUCUGUUAUUAGGGAAGAACAUAUGUGUAAGUAACUGUGCACAUCGUGACGGUACCUAAUCAGAAAGCCACGGCUAACUACGUG